CCUUCAGCGGUCCCUGACGUUGGUGGG
rnacentral:sRNA from 1 species